rnacentral:tRNA from 1 species
GGGUGUGGCUCAGUGGCAGAGUGCUGGCCUUAUAUGUAUGUGCAAGGCCCUGGGUUCCAUUCCCAGCACCACA